rnacentral:lncRNA from 1 species
GCCAGAACCUGGUGGGUUUAAAAAUGAAAAGAAUAAUCAUCCCAUGGACAGGAGUCCUGAGAUUAAUACAAAGAAGACAAGGAAGGUAGCUGUUCUUAUCUCCUUCCGCAUCCUGAACUAGGCACAAGAGAGGCGGCUGCCUCACAUUGCUGCUGUCACUUCCCCGCCAUGACGGACUGUCCCCUCCAACCACGAGCUAAAACAAACCUUUCCUCCAAGUGGCUUCUGGUCAAGUAUUUGGUGAAAGAAAUGCAAGAAGCAAUCUGGAAAUAUGCUUCCAAACCAGUAAAGAUAAAUAAAGAUUCAGACAUCUCAGCAAAACUGGAAGCCAAGAAAUCAAAAGAAACCUUCGGACAAUUGGAAAAAGUUUGAUCCCUGGAAGAAGCAAGCUCAUGUGUGUGCCCCAGUAGGAGUGGGGGAGAGACCAAAGGGCUCUGACCCUGUGGCCCCCGCAUCACAGGUGUUCCGAGCAUCUGUGGACAAAGCUGAAGCUGGAAGGAAGGAGAACUUACCCAUCAAAGCUCUUCCCAUUGCUGUCAUUUAUUAAAGAGAGGCAGUAAACAAA